rnacentral:rRNA from 1 species
CUGGUUGAUCCUGCCAGACCCGACUGCUAUCGGAUUGGGACUAAGCCAUGCGAGUCAACUCCGCAAGGGGUGGCGCACGGCUCAGUAACACGUAGUCAACCUACCCUGGGGACGGGGAUAACCUCGGGAAACUGAGGCUAAACCCCGAUGGGCCAUGGCUCCUGGAAUGGGCUAUGGCUGAAAUCUACAUGGCCCCAGGAUGGGACUGCGGCCGAUCAGGUUGUUGGUGGGGUAAUGGCCCACCAAGCCUAUAACCGGUGCGUGCUCUGAGAGGAGGAGCCCGGAGAUAGGCACUGAGACAAGGGCCCAGGUCCUAUGGGGCGCAGCAGGCGCGAAACCUCCGCAAUGGGCGAAAGCCCGACGGGGUCAGUCCGAGUGGUUCCCGCUGAGGGAACCUUUUGCCAGCUGUAAACAGGCUGGCGAAUAAGGGGUGGGCAAGUUUGGUUUCAGCCGCCCCGGUAAUACCAGCACCCCGAGUGGUCGGGACGAUUAUUGGGCCUAAAGCAUCCGUAGCCGGCCCAGUAAGUCCUCCGUUAAAUCCAACGGCUCAACCGUUGGGCUGCGGGGGAUACUGCUUGGCUAGGGGACGGGAGAGGCGAGGGGUAUUCCCGGGGUAGGGGUAAAAUCCACUGAUCCCGGGAGGACCACCAGUGGCGAAGGCGCCUCGCUAGAACGUGCCCGACGGUGAGGGAUGAAAGCUGGGGGGGCGAACCGGAUUAGAUACCCGGGUAGUCCCAGCCGUGAACGAUGUAGGCUCGGUGUUGGGCUGCCUCAGUGGCAGCCCAGUGCCGCAGGGAAGCCGUUAAGCCUACCGCCUGGGGAGUACGGCCGCAAGGCUGAAACUUAAAGGAAUUGGCGGGGGAGCACCAC